rnacentral:rRNA from 1 species
GACGAACGCUGGCGGCAUGCCUAACACAUGCAAGUCGAACGGAGAUUAUUUCUGUAAUCUUAGUGGCGAACGGGUGCGUAACGCGUGGUCAACCUGCCCUCUAGAGGGGGACAACAUCCCGAAAGGGGUGCUAAUACCUAAUGUGACAGCAAUCUCGCAUGAAGAAGCUGUUAAAAGUUGCCUCUAUUUAUUAGCUAUCGCUAGAGGAGGGGCCUGCGUCUGAUUAGCUAGUUGGUGGGGUAAGGGCCUACCAAGGCGAUGAGCAGUAGCCGGUCUGAGAGGAUGAUCGGCCACAUUGGGACUGAGACACGGCCCAGACUCCUACGGGAGGCAGCAGUGGGGAAUCUUCCGCAAUGGGCGAAAGCCUGACGGAGCAAUGCCGCGUGAGUGAUGAAGGAAUUCGUUCCGUAAAGCUCUUUUGUUUAUGACGAAUGUGCAGAUUGUGAAAAAUGAUCUGUAAUGACGGUAGUAAACGAAUAAGCCACGGCUAACUACGUG